UGGGGAAUCUUGCGCAAUGGGGGAAACCCUGACGCAGCGACGCCGCGUGCGGGAUGAAGGCCUUCGGGUUGUAAACCGCUUUCAGCAGGGACGAGGCCUUAUGGUGACGGUAUCUGCAGAAGAAGCUCCGGCUAAAUACGUGCCAGCAGCCGCGGUAAUACGUAUGGAGCAAGCGUUAUCCGGAUUCAUUGGGCGUAAAGCGCUCGUAGGCGGUCUGUUAGGUCGGCAAGUUAAAUCCGGGGGCUCAACCCCCGUCCGCUUCCGAUACCGGCAUACUUGAGUUGGGUAGGGGAAGGUGGAAUUCCUAGGGUAGCGGUGGAAUGCGCAGAUAUUAGGAAGAACACCGGUGGCGGAGACAGCCUUCUGGGCCAUAACUGACGCUGAGAAGCGAAAGCUAGGGGAGCGAACAGG
rnacentral:rRNA from 1 species